UACGGGGGGGGCAAGCGUUGUUCGGAAUUACUGGGCGUAAAGCGUGCGCAGGCGGUUUGUUAAGUCCGUUGUGAAAGCCCCGAGCUCAACUUGGGAAUUGCAGUGGAUACUGGCAGGCUGGAGUACGGUAGAGGAAGGUGGAAUUCCCGGUGUAGCAGUGAAAUGCGUAGAGAUCGGGAGGAACACCAGUGGCGAAGGCGGCCUUCUGGACCAGUACUGACGCUCAUGCACGAAAGCGUGGGGAGCAAACAGG
rnacentral:rRNA from 1 species